UGCUGUUGUGCUGGAGGGGAGGGCAAGAGUGUGAGGUGCAGGGGUCUCUGGGGGGCCAGGUACCAUCCUGGGCUGGCCUAUCCCCUAGUGCUUGGCCAGGGACUUGGACCUCAGCCCUUCCAUGUGACCUGAGGAGGUGACUCUGGAGCCACUUAUCCAGGGUGCCCCAAGUGCUUAGGUAUCCCCUAAGCUCACUGUGGCCUAUGCUCACCGAGACCUCCCCAAGGCUCGGGAUUAAGGAGGCCCCAAGCCAAGUCGCAGCACUGAUGUGAAGGUCUUCGGUGCACAGAACCCCGUCCCAAGGAGCCCUGGAUGAGGCGCCGACGUCAGGGUGCGCACAUGUGUGGGGUCCUCAGGAGGCUCGCAGUUAUCUGGGAUUUGAGGUGCUGAAAGAAUGGGACAAGGACCCAGAGCUCUCAAAGCCUGGUCAGGCAACAGUUUGGAUCAGAAAACCAACAAUUCAUCUAUGGAAGCAAUGCUAUUACUCUUCCCUAUGUCUCAGGUUUGAGGGGACAGCUGAAAGCUUUGCCUGGAAGACAUCCCUAGACUGAUUCUAAGUCAGCAGGUGCUGGAGGAGGGGGAGCCAUCUAAGACAGCAUACUACCCUAUCCUGCCCUCCAGCUAAAAGGAAUCCUACUGCUAUGAAUAAACUUUUACCUCAAGCAUAUCAGUUAUGAUUUUCCUCAACAUGUGACUGUUGUCUUUAUGCUU
rnacentral:lncRNA from 1 species